GACAUGUUAUUCCAACAUAAUAAUAAAGAAUGGAAUAACAAAAGAAUUUCACCAUGUAUGCGGUACUUCGCAUAGACAGGUUAUUCCAACAUAAUAAUAAAGAAUGGAAUAACAACUCUUGCGAGUAUUAAAAGAAAAUAACUCUCUUCAUGAAUACGAAAGAAUAAUACCCCUUACCUUAGAAAAACUGGACACUGGAAUAGUGAGUGUGACGCCCCCAAAAUAGGUAUACAUCACCUAUUCUGAGUCGCCAAAUA
rnacentral:lncRNA from 1 species